rnacentral:rRNA from 1 species
CUAAGUACCCCGAGGAAAAGAAAUCAACCGAGAUUCCCCCAGUAGCGGCGAGCGAACGGGGAGCAGCCCAGAGCCUGAAUCAGUGUGUGUGUUAGUGGAAGCGUCUGGAAAGGCGCGCGAUACAGGGUGACAGCCCCGUACACAAAAAUGCACAUGCUGUGAGCUCGAUGAGUAGGGCGGGACACGUGGUAUCCUGUCUGAAUAUGGGGGGACCAUCCUCCAAGGCUAAAUACUCCUGACUGACCGAUAGUGAACCAGUACCGUGAGGGAAAGGCGAAAAGAACCCCGGCGAGGGGAGUGAAAAAGAACCUGAAACCGUGUACGUACAAGCAGUGGGAGCACGCUUAGGCGUGUGACUGCGUACCUUUUGUAUAAUGGGUCAGCGACUUAUAUUCUGUAGCAAGGUUAACCGAAUAGGGGAGCCGAAGGGAAACCGAGUCUUAACUGGGCGUUAAGUUGCAGGGUAUAGACCCGAAACCCGGUGAUCUAGCCAUGGGCAGGUUGAAGGUUGGGUAACACUAACUGGAGGACCGAACCGACUAAUGUUGAAAAAUUAGCGGAUGACUUGUGGCUGGGGGUGAAAGGCCAAUCAAACCGGGAGAUAGCUGGUUCUCCCCGAAAGCUAUUUAGGUAGCGCCUCGUGAAUUCAUCUCCGGGGGUAGAGCACUGUUUCGGCAAGGGGGUCAUCCCGACUUACCAACCCGAUGCAAACUGCGAAUACCGGAGAAUGUUAUCACGGGAGACACACGGCGGGUGCUAACGUCCGUCGUGAAGAGGGAAACAACCCAGACCGCCAGCUAAGGUCCCAAAGUCAUGGUUAAGUGGGAAACGAUGUGGGAAGGCCCAGACAGCCAGGAUGUUGGCUUAGAAGCAGCCAUCAUUUAAAGAAAGCGUAAUAGCUCACUGGUCGAGUCGGCCUGCGCGGAAGAUGUAACGGGGCUAAACCAUGCACCGAAGCUGCGGCAGCGACACUAUGUGUUGUUGGGUAGGGGAGCGUUCUGUAAGCCUGUGAAGGUGUACUGUGAGGUAUGCUGGAGGUAUCAGAAGUGCGAAUGCUGACAUAAGUAACGAUAAAGCGGGUGAAAAGCCCGCUCGCCGGAAGACCAAGGGUUCCUGUCCAACGUUAAUCGGGGCAGGGUGAGUCGACCCCUAAGGCGAGGCCGAAAGGCGUAGUCGAUGGGAAACAGGUUAAUAUUCCUGUACUUGGUGUUACUGCGAAGGGGGGACGGAGAAGGCUAUGUUGGCCGGGCGACGGUUGUCCCGGUUUAAGCGUGUAGGCUGGUUUUCCAGGCAAAUCCGGAAAAUCAAGGCUGAGGCGUGAUGACGAGGCACUACGGUGCUGAAGCAACAAAUGCCCUGCUUCCAGGAAAAGCCUCUAAGCAUCAGGUAACAUCAAAUCGUACCCCAAACCGACACAGGUGGUCAGGUAGAGAAUACCAAGGCGCUUGAGAGAACUCGGGUGAAGGAACUAGGCAAAAUGGUGCCGUAACUUCGGGAGAAGGCACGCUGAUAUGUAGGUGAAGUCCCUCGCGGAUGGAGCUGAAAUCAGUCGAAGAUACCAGCUGGCUGCAACUGUUUAUUAAAAACACAGCACUGUGCAAACACGAAAGUGGACGUAUACGGUGUGACGCCUGCCCGGUGCCGGAAGGUUAAUUGAUGGGGUCAGCGCAAGCGAAGCUCUUGAUCGAAGCCCCGGUAAACGGCGGCCGUAACUAUAACGGUCCUAAGGUAGCGAAAUUCCUUGUCGGGUAAGUUCCGACCUGCACGAAUGGCGUAAUGAUGGCCAGGCUGUCUCCACCCGAGACUCAGUGAAAUUGAACUCGCUGUGAAGAUGCAGUGUACCCGCGGCAAGACGGAAAGACCCCGUGAACCUUUACUAUAGCUUGACACUGAACAUUGAGCCUUGAUGUGUAGGAUAGGUGGGAGGCUUUGAAGUGUGG